rnacentral:rRNA from 1 species
CACGUACUGUGCGAACGUUAUUCGGAAUCACUGGGCUUAAAGGGUGCGUAGGCGGUUUUUCAAGUCAGGUGUGAAAUGCCAGAGCUCAACUGUGGCACUGCGCUUGAAACUGAUCAACUUGAGGAUUCCAGGGGUAUGCGGAACUGCCAGUGGAGCGGUGAAAUGCGUUGAUAUUGGCAGGAACACCAGUGGCGAAGGCGGCCACCUAGACAGAGACUGACGCUGAUGCACGAAAGCGUGGGGAGCAAAUAGG